rnacentral:rRNA from 1 species
CACGUAGGGCGCAAGCGUUGUCCGGAUUCAUUGGGCGUAAAGCGCUUUAAGGCGGUUCGGUAAGUCGGGUGUGAAACCUCCAGGCUCAACCUGGAGACGCCACUCGAUACUGCUGUGACUAGAGUUCGGUAGGGGAUCACGGAAUUCCUGGUGUAGCGGUGAAAUGCGCAGAUAUCAGGAGGAACACCGGUGGCGAAGGCGGUGAUCUGGGCCGACACUGACGCUGUAGAGCGAAAGCGUGGGGAGCGAACAGG